UGUAUAAUGGGUCAGCGACUUAUAUUCUGUAGCAAGGUUAACCGUAUAGGGGAGCCGAAGGGAAACCGAGUCUUAACUGGGCGUUAAGUUGCAGGGUAUAGACCCGAAACCCGGUGAUCUAGCCAUGGGCAGGUUGAAGGUUGGGUAACACUAACUGGAGGACCGAACCGACUAAUGUUGAAAAAUUAGCGGAUGACUUGUGGCUGGGGGUGAAAGGCCAAUCAAACCGGGAGAUAGCUGGUUCUCCCCGAAAGCUAUUUAGGUAGCGCCUCGUGAACUCAUCUUCGGGGGUAGAGCACUGUUUCGGCUAGGGGGCCAUCCCGGCUUACCAACCCGAUGCAAACUACGAAUACCGAAGAAUGUUAUCACGGGAGACACACGGCGGGUGCUAACGUCCGUCGUGAAGAGGGAAACAACCCAGACCGCCAGCUAAGGUCCCAAAGUCAUGGUUAAGUGGGAAACGAUGUGGGAAGGCACAGACAGCCAGGAUGUUGGCUUAGAAGCAGCCAUCAUUUAAAGAAAGCGUAAUAGCUCACUGGUCGAGUCGGCCUGCGCGGAAGAUGUAACGGGGCUAAACCAUGCACCGAAGCUGCGGCAGCGACGCGUAUGCGUUGUUGGGUAGGGGAGCGUUCUGUAAGCCGUUGAAGGUGUGCUGUGAGGCAUGCUGGAGGUAUCAGAAGUGCGAAUGCUGACAUAAGUAACGAUAAAGCGGGUGAAAAGCCCGCUCGCCGGAAGACCAAGGGUUCCUGUCCAACGUUAAUCGGGGCAGGGUGAGUCGACCCCUAAGGCGAGGCCGAAAGGCGUAGUCGAUGGGAAACAGGUUAAUAUUCCUGUACUUGGUGUUACUGCGAAGGGGGGACGGAGAAGGCUAUGUUAGCCGGGCGACGGUUGUCCCGGUUUAAGCAUGUAGGCGGAGGUUCCAGGUAAAUCCGGUACCUUUUAACGCUGAGGUGUGAUGACGAGGCACUACGGUGCUGAAGUAACAAAUGCCCUGCUUCCAGGAAAAGCCUCUAAGCAUCAGGUAACACGAAAUCGUACCCCAAACCGACACAGGUGGUCAGGUAGAGAAUACCAAGGCGCUUGAGAGAACUCGGGUGAAGGAACUAGGCAAAAUGGUGCCGUAACUUCGGGAGAAGGCACGCUGAUAUGUAGGUGAAGCCCCUGCGGGUGGAGCUGAAAUCAGUCGAAGAUACCAGCUGGCUGCAACUGUUUAUUAAAAACACAGCACUGUGCAAACACGAAAGUGGACGUAUACGGUGUGACGCCUGCCCGGUGCCGGAAGGUUAAUUGAUGGGGUUAGCGGCAACGCGAAGCUCUUGAUCGAAGCCCCGGUAAACGGCGGCCGUAACUAUAACGGUCCUAAGGUAGCGAAAUUCCUUGUCGGGUAAGUUCCGACCUGCACGAAUGGCGUAAUGAUGGCCAGGCUGUCUCCACCCGAGACUCAGUGAAAUUGAACUCGCUGUGAAGAUGCAGUGUACCCGCGGCAAGACGGAAAGACCCCGUGAACCUUUACUAUAGCUUGACACUGAACACUGGUCCUUGAUGUGUAGGAUAGGUGGGAGGCUUUGAAGCGUG
rnacentral:rRNA from 1 species